GUUAUAUGGGUUGGAGACGGUGGCACUGACCAGAAAGCAGAAGACAGAGCUGGAGGUGGCAGAGUUAAAGAUGCUAAGAUUUGCAUUGGGUGUGACGCGCAUAGAUAGGAUUAGAAAUGAGGACAUGAGAGGGUCAGCUCAGGUUGGAUGGUUGGGAGACAAAGUCAGAGAGGCAAGAUUGCGUUGGUUUGGACAUGUACAGAGGACAGAUGCUGAGUAUAUUGGGAGAAGGAUGCUAAGAAUAGAGCUGCCAGGGAAGAGGAGAAGAGGAAGGCCUAAGAGAAGGUUUAUGGAUGUGGUGAGAGAGGACAUGCAGAUGAUGGGUGUGACAGAACAAGAUGACGAGGACAGGAAGAGAUGGAAAAAGAUGAUCCACUGUGGUGACCCCUAACGGGAGCAGCCGAAAGAAGAA